rnacentral:lncRNA from 11 species
ACUUACUCGACAAAUCUUCAAAUAUUUUAGUUAAUAAAUUAUUGCAAGAGAGGGCCCUGGUAGUAUCAUACUUGUUAGAUUCUAUCAAUUUGCCUUUGAAAUGCAAUAAUCUUUUAAUUGAUAAUAUUGCUUUUAAACAAUGGAUUUCAUAUCAAAUGGUUUCAAUUCAUUGAUCAGAACUUAUACUUUCAGAUUUGUUUAAAAAUAUUGUUUUUUUGUAACUUUGGUGCUUUAUAAAUUCUUAAUUUGAAUCAAUGGCAUAAAAGUAUUUGAAAUAUUCGACACAAUGUACGUAAUUAUAAAGAAGUCAUGAAUCAUAUGAAAUGUAUAUAUAUAUAUGUAUGUAUGUAAAUAUUAUUUAUGUCUCUUUAUAUUUUUCUUAUUUGUAUGUCACUAUAAUUUGCAAUAGCUGUUAUAUCUUAGAAAUUUAUAUCGAGUGAAUGUUUAGAUAAUGCUAUUGAUCAAAGCGAACAAUUGAUAAUUUCAAUUUUUACUCAGUAUGAAUUGUGAUAUGAUUGCAUUUGUUUACAACAUUGUUAAAUUUGUAUGUGAUUCUCUCAUACGCAGAAUUUCAAACGAUACCUUCAGUUCCUCGUUUUCUUGAUGCAAAUCUGUCGCUUCCUCGGAUACUAAACCGAUUCCAUUUAAGGAGAAACUCGCUGUGACACCUCGGGCUCUGGCACGACUGUCCCAUUGAUCUCCUUGACCACGUAAAACUCGAAUCACCUGAAAUGUAAUUAAUAAUAAUUUAAAAAGAAUCUAUUCUUGGGGAAGAAAGUGAAACAACUAGUGAAUAAUUUACCUUUGGCGCAAAUACAAGAAACACGGUGACAGAAGUAGACAAUUGUGUACGUAGAAAGCCUAAUAAAUAUUUGAUAUCUGGGCCAGCAUGAGGGAAAAUGAAGAGACUGCAAAGAAAAUCAUGGAAAGUACCGAUAGCUAAACUAUGGUCCCACCAAUUGAAGGAGCAUUGAUUGAACUUCAGACCAUAAUUGUCUGCUAUCUCUUCAGCGUAUGGUGGUGCGCUGAGCGUCCACGUGCCCAGAUAAAUUAACAUCACUAACAAUAUCGGGACCAUCCAUUGCAGCAAUUGUUUGUCCGUGAGCUUUACUUUGUGCGCGCUUUUUACACGGUUUUCAUCAGCAAUGCGGUAUAAGAAAUACAAAAACCAAGAUGUCUUGUCCAUUUGGUCGCGAUACAAGAAUACAUGUCCAAAACCGGGAAUAUCGCGGCCAUCUAAAUACACAAAAGUAUGUGAAAAUAUAAUUUACAUAUAUGAUACAUGAUGGCGCAACCCAAAAGCGUGAUGGACAAAAAUAUCGGCGAAGCAACCUUGAACACUUUGAGUUUACGGUGUUGAUACAUGUAGACGACUAGGAUGAUAGUACCAAACACACAGAAAAUAGAGAACGAUAAAAGAGCGAUUCUGCAAGUAAAAAAAUACAUGGAUCAAAAGAUAGAGAAGAGGAGAUUCGUACCGGAAGGGCCAAUUGUAGGUGGCCAGACAGGGUUCCGGUCCCUUGCAUUUAACGCAUCCCGGGGCACAACUUAUAUACUAUAAUAACGCAUUCACUCGAGGCAUAAGAGUUGAACUAUCCUUACUAACUUUCGACGAGGAUUCCAUUGAAAGCGGAUUGACGGUUCUUGUCGUAAUAGCCUUUCCGACAUUUGCAUAUAUAUGCGCCCUUUGCCCAACCAGCACCGACGCCAUUUUGAUUUAUACGAAUACUCGGACUUUGAUAUUCACACUAAAAAUAUCAUGCAACAUGGAAACAUCACAGAGUAGAGAAUGGAUGAUAAUCCUUUUUUGAAGGAAUUUCAAUUGAAAAGAAUUACCUGAGUGGUGUCGCUAUGACAUUUGUGCGUGCCUUUAAAAGAUGCUAUUUGAUUACUUAGAAUUUCAUUCUCAUUGCUAUGGGGCGAUGGAUCGCAUUGAUUUACUUCUAGCCCGCUAAUAUCGAUAUCUACGCUUAAAAAUUCACGAACCCUUGAACAGAAUAUAAUUUCAUCAACAUUUGUUGAAACAAUUGAUCGCUUUAUUGAGAAGAAACAAGAUUAGAAAUCGAUCCAAAGAGUUGCAGAUUCGAGGCAGUGAUAUUAUUGAUUGAAAUUAUCAAAUGAAAGUUUUGACACGUUCAAUGUGGUAUUGUCAUCAAGUAUGCAUUGCCAUCUUGUUGCAUUUUACAAUUGUUUUCUUCAUUAACUAUGAGAAAUACGGGAUGGUCCACCAACCCCUGUAGGAUUCAAUCGCCGGUGACUGCAUGAAUUUCGGUGACCUGGGAUAACACGCAAACGCCACAAACCGCCAUAGAAACUUCGAUUUUUUCACGCAUACAUGUUUCGUGCAACGACCCCAUUAUUAUCUUUACUUGCUUUUUCUUUUUGUCUCUUUCUUUUUAAAUCCUGGCACUUCACGGUCAUCCGGUAUAUACAUUAAAUUUUUACAUUUGAAUUAAGUUGGAUAUUGUCUGAAUAUAUUUGUAUCUAGAAGUUUUUAAUUAAUUAGAAUUCAAUUCGUGUAAUAUAUUGAGUAAAAAAGGCUAGAGAUCAUUUUCAAGAGAUUAUUAUUUUCUUCAUAUUUUGUUUUUUCAUUUUAACUCUUCAAUAAACCUUGAAACAGUCUAUAUUCAUAAAAUAUUUGUUUAUAUCUAUUAUAAAGUAUAAGUGAAAAAGGUUUGAAAAGAAAUGAAAUAUCCUUUAUAUUAUAACUAUUGUUUUGAAUCAUAACCAGAGAUUAUUUCUCAUAUAUAUUUUCAUAAAAUAUGUAUGAAAAUAUUUACCUCAUAAAAUAUGCAUUAGUUUUAACAUGCUAAAUCCUAAAGCGAUCGCUGAAUUAAUUUUCAAUAUUAUAAUUAUUCUGAAUUACCAUCAUCCAUUAAAAUUUCAUAUUUUAAUAUAUAAAUAUGUAAUAAUUUAAACAAUAUAAGUGAAACAAUUCUCAAACAGACAAAAUUGAAAAAAAUAAUUUUUUUAGAAAUGAAUUCUUUAACGUUUUCACAUCUCGCGUGAAACAACUUAAGAAAAUUGCAUCCAAGUUAUCUUUAAAUUGCCGCUUUCUCUAGUAAACAUACCACUGAUUCGUCGAAAUCGAUCCAAAUGCGAUCGUUUGGUCCAAAUACCAAUCAUUUUGUUACGACAACCACCCACGCAAUUAUUCGACCGAUGCAUACUACAUUUUUCAUCCUGAUUCGAAUGACUGUACUAUAAAUACUAUAAUACUAUAAUAUUAGAAUACUAUAAUCAGUGUUGUCAAUCGUUUCAUAUUGUUAUAUUCGAUGGUUAGUUUCACGAUGCCAAGUUAUAAAUAUCGUAGCGCCGUACACACAUAUGAUAAAAAGCUUUUAACGACGUACCGUUGGCAUAUUGAUUAUCGUAGAAUUCUCUUUAAGCGAUUACAUUCCCCUUCAAAAUGAACACCCUUGAAUAUAGUGCAUAGCCGUAUCUUUAAUAUUUAAUGAACGGGAAAACGUCAACAAUUUUGUAAAAUAUUUCGUACCCGACUUGGAUUGCAUACUUAUGGAAUCGAAUGUAAAUUUUUCAAUAUUCAGACAAUAUAUUUUGACAAAUGUUAGAAACAUGAAGAGAAAAAUUAAAAAUUCGAAAAACUCGAUUCGAAAAAAUUUGAAUCUCAUUUCUGCGUGUCGAGUUUCUAUGACUUGACGCUUGUACAAGAUGAUGAAGGAUGAUGAAUGAUCGUGGAGCGCCUAUAAAAUGUUUAUUUUCUUCUCGGUAGAAUUGUUCUUAGAUAAAUAUUUGGUUCAUGGUAAGAACAUCGUGUUUUAUUAAAAUUUAUGAUAUUCGAUAUUAUUUUUAUCGAUUUUCGGUUAGUGCGUUUAGCUACCUUACCGAGAAGAGGUAACGAAAAUUGAAUAUGGAGGGCGAGAUGCAAAAUAAAAUUUUUCUGUGCUUGUGCGUGUGCGUGCGUGCAGGUUGAUGCUUCUUAAAAAGCUAGGUGCAGAUGUGAUCACGUUAUAUUUAAUCGAUGAGUGUCAUUUCUUAUGAAUAUUGCAAGAACUUAUAUUAAUUAUAUAAUUUUAAAGUUUUUGAUAAGAAAAAUAGAAAAUAUGAUCGAAAUAUGAAUAUAUCGAUACAUGCGAUUUUCGAGAACGUGCAUCGAAUAAAAGUCGGAAAAGGUGCAUGAGAGUUUGAAAUUCGAACGGUUAGAUAAAUCUAACCUUAAUUCUGUAGUGGCACCCGCAUUUUCGAACCACGGUAAAUUAGAAUCCGGUAUAGAUCCCGGCUGGAGUCCAUGGCUCUCGACCUUGAAUGGUUCUCCGACACUUCCCGGGCUUCUUUCCAACCAGACUGCGCUAAUUACUGCACCCGUGGACGCGUUUAGUGCGAUCACCCUUGUCUCCACGGCGUCGUUCACUGACAUCAGUAACGACUUUGCUAGCACAUCUAAAAACACUACAAUAUUAAAUUUCAACCAAUUAUAAAUGUAUCAGCUAUUAUUAACGUAUUAUGUGGUGAUAUAUAAAGUUUCAAAGAUAUUAAAGAUCUGAUUUUAAAAUCGGUCGACGCGCAGGGUCGCAAAAGCAUGAAGAUAUAAUCGAUGUACCUCGAUAGCAUGCAUAUUCUCGUUACCAUUUUAGCCGAUGAAAUUCGAUUAGGUGAUGAUAUACCAGGUCCCGGACAAAUUGGAUUGUUGACAAUGCGGUCUGUCAUCGUGCACGGUUUAUUAGCCAAAUCGAUUUUAUCUUUCUCUUAUAGAUUGAAACGAUUUGGAAUUCGAUAGAAAAAAAAA